GAAAAGUAAUAUGACCGACUAAUAUGAUCAUCUGGUCACGUAUGAAAUGAUACUGUUGCAUUUAUUUUUUUUAGAAAAAAGUUGAAAAUCCAUAUUUGGUUUAUAGACAAAAAGAUGAAGAUGUACGCUGUGGAUUAACAUGCCGAUAUUGUAAGAUUUGCUGGUUGAAAGACUUGAACGAUCAACCAGUUUCAAAUCUUUUGUCAAAAUAAAAACAACCUGAAGAACUUGAUAUGUUGAUAGAAAAGCCAAAUAGUUCAUCACAUGUAUCCAAUAAUUCCAUUGUCUCCGAUACAGAAGAAAAGGAAAAUUAACUACAGACAGGACAAACUCUGUUUUAACAACAUAUCAACAUAAAUGCCUUUUAAAAAAGUUUUAUACA